rnacentral:rRNA from 1 species
UACGUAGGGGGCAAGCGUUGUUCGGAAUCACUGGGCUUAAAGAGCGCGCAGGCGGUCGUUCAAGUCGCGUGUGAAAGCCCCCGGCUCAACUGGGGAGGGUCACGCGAUACUGAUCGACUCGAAGGCAGGAGAGGGAAGUGGAAUUCCCGGUGUAGUGGUGAAAUGCGUAGAUAUCGGGAGGAACACCAGUGGCGAAGGCGACUUCCUGGCCUGUUCUUGACGCUGAGGCGCGAAAGCUAGGGGAGCAAACGGG